rnacentral:rRNA from 1 species
CACUCCUGCGGGAGGCAGCAGUGGGGAAUUUUGGACAAUGGGCGAAAGCCUGAUCCAGCAAUGCCGCGUGAGUGAAGAAGGCCUUCGGGUUGUAAAGCUCUUUUGUCAGGGAAGAAACGGUGAAAGCUAAUAUCUUUUGCUAAUGACGGUACCUGAAGAAUAAGCACCGGCUAACUACGUGCCAGCAGCCGCGGUAAUACGUAGGGUGCAAGCGUUAAUCGGAAUUACUGGGCGUAAAGCGUGCGCAGGCGGUUUUGUAAGUCUGAUGUGAAAUCCCCGGGCUCAACCUGGGAAUUGCAUUGGAGACUGCAAGGCUAGAAUCUGGCAGAGGGGGGUAGAAUUCCACGUGUAGCAGUGAAAUGCGUAGAUAUGUGGAGGAACACCGAUGGCGAAGGCAGCCCCCUGGGUCAAGAUUGACGCUCAUGCACGAAAGCGUGGGGAGCAAACAGGAUUAGAUACCCUUGUAGCCAUGA